ACGCGAGAGCUUCUCGCGUCUUUACCAUGGCUGGAAACUUUUUUUUUUCAGGGUCCAAAUGGCGGAUACAUUUUGCCAUAACGUCCCUUUUUGGAAUUUUGCCCCCUUCAAUCAUUCUUCUAUUUUCAGAUCGUCAACAUCAUUUACUCCUUCUUUACCAACCUCAAUACCCAAAACCGGAACCCUACAAACCAGACGAUUUUUGAGGUGCACGAAGAAAUCGAAGAGGAAGAAUGAGCAAUAGCAUAAAACGAUUCAAGUCGGCUGCCUUGAAGAGAUCUGUAGUGCACAACCCAUAAUCUAAAUUACCGCAGUGCAAGGAAUAACCCGUAGCCUCGGCGAGAACAACAGCCCGGUAAGUAUUUACUUAUUAAAUGAUUUCUCACACACUUAAAAUACUAAUUUAGUUACAUUAAAAAAAUCAAUCUCAAAUUGGUAAAUUUUUUAACUAAAGAAAAUAAAAAGUGCGAGUAACCUGAGACAUAUAGUACUAAUAUGUGUCAAAUCCAAAAUUGAUAAUAACUCCAUUUUUUAUGUUAAGUUAUUGCCUAACGAUGUGACUAAAUGAGUAAUAGUAGUAUCUUUCUCAUUUAUUCACAAGGCUCAUUCAAUUGUGCUCAUGUUUAAGUUCAUAAUAUAUCACAUUGCUAGUGUACCCAGAGCGUAAUUUCGAUCAAUUGGACGUGUGACACAAGACUUACCUUAAUUGUUUUUGAAAAUGUAUUUUUUAAAGAAAUUGCAAAAGAAAUCAAAACGACUGAAGUAGAGCACAGUGUUUUUUAUGGUACAAAACAUGGAGGAGAGUUCUGUGAUCAGCCAUAGCAACAAAUGACACUAUAUAAGAAUACAACCAUUGAUGCAGUUCGUUUCACGAUAUCCACACCUCGUCUGUCUCGCGAUGGCAUAGAGCUCAAAGCAAAACAACGCACAUAUUGUACAGAGAGACGACGAGCACCUAAUUCACAACAAGACUCGAUCCUUGACCUUUGCUAUCUUCAUACCUGCUCAC